UGGGGAAUAUUGGACAAUGGGCGCAAGCCUGAUCCAGCCAUGCCGCGUGAGUGAAGAAGGCCUUAGGGUUGUAAAACUCUUUCGCCGGGGAAGAUAAUGACGGUACCCGGAGAAGAAGCUCCGGCUAACUUCGUGCCAGCAGCCGCGGUAAUACGAAGGGAGCUAGCGUUGUUCGGAAUUACUGGGCGUAAAGCGCACGUAGGCGGACUUGUCAGUCAGGGGUGAAAUCCCAAGGCUCAACCUUGGAACUGCCUCCGAUACAGCAAGCCUAGAGAUCGGGAGAGGUGAGUGGAAUUCCUAGUGUAGAGGUGAAAUUCGUAGAUAUUAGGAAGAACACCGGUGGCGAAGGCGGCUCACUGGUCCGGUACUGACACUGAGGUGCGAAAGCGUGGGGAGCAAACAGGAUUAGAUACCCACGUAGUCCCUGAGCGGGCUGGCAAGGCGCAU
rnacentral:rRNA from 1 species